rnacentral:rRNA from 1 species
GAUGAACGCUGGCGGCGUGCCUAAUACAUGCAAGUCGAGCGAACAGACGAGGAGCUUGCUCCUCUGACGUUAGCGGCGGACGGGUGAGUAACACGUGGAUAACCUACCUAUAAGACUGGGAUAACUUCGGGAAACCGGAGCUAAUACCGGAUAAUAUAUUGAACCGCAUGGUUCAAUAGUGAAAGACGGUUUUGCUGUCACUUAUAGAUGGAUCCGCGCCGCAUUAGCUAGUUGGUAAGGUAACGGCUUACCAAGGCGACGAUGCGUAGCCGACCUGCGAGAGUGAUCGGCCACACUGGAACUGAGACACGGUCCAGACUCCUACGGGAGGCAGCAGUAGGGAAUCUUCCGCAGUGGGCGAAAGCCUGACGGAGCAACGCCGCGUGAGUGAUGAAGGUCUUCGGAUCGUAAAACUCUGUUAUUAGGGAAGAACAAAUGUGUAAGUAACUAUGCACGUCUUGACGGUACCUAAUCAGAAAGCCACGGCUAACUACGUG